rnacentral:rRNA from 1 species
UACGUAGGGGGCAAGCGUUGUCCGGAAUCAUUGGGCGUAAAGCGCGUGUAGGCGGCUCGAUAAGUCUGCUGUGAAAGUCCAGGGCUCAACCCUGGGAUGCCGGUCGAUACUGCCGGACUAGAGUUCGGAAGAGGCGAGUGGAAUUCCCGGUGUAGCGGUGAAAUGCGCAGAUAUCGGGAGGAACACCUAUGGCGAAGGCGGCAUCCUGGACCGAACA